AGUGAACGCUGGCGGUAGGCCUAACACAUGCAAGUCGAACGGCAGCACAGGAGAGCUCGCUCUCUGGGUGGCGAGUGGCGGGCGGGUGAGGAAUACAUCGGAAUCUACUCUGUCGUGGGGGAUAACGUAGGGAAACUUACGCUAAUACCGCAUACGACCUACGGGUGAAAGCAGGGGAUCUUCGGACCUUGCGCGAUUGAAUGAGCCGAUGUCGGAUUAGCUAGUUGGCGGGGUAAAGGCCCACCAAGGCGACGAUCCGUAGCUGGUCUGAGAGGAUGAUCAGCCACACUGGAACUGAGACACGGUCCAGACUCCUACGGGAGGCAGCAGUGGGGAAUAUUGGACAAUGGGCGCAGGCCUGAUCCAGCCAUACCGCGUGGGUGAAGAAGGCCUUCGGGUUGUAAAGCCCUUUUGUUGGGAAAGAAAUCCAGCUGGCUAAUACCCGGUUGGGAUGACGGUACCCAAAGAAUAAGCACCGGCUAACUUCGUGCCAGCCGCCGCCGUAA
rnacentral:rRNA from 1 species